rnacentral:SRP_RNA from 1 species
GGCUGGGUCCUCCGCAACACCCGGAAGGUGAACCCCGCCAGGCCCGGAAGGGAGCAACGGUAAGCUGGAAGGGUGUGUGCGGUAAGGGUCCAGCCCCUU